rnacentral:tRNA from 1 species
UAUAAAUUAGUGUAUUAUAAAUGCACAAAAUUUUUUGAUAAUAUUAGUAAUAUUUAAUUUUAAUAUAUAUAU